rnacentral:rRNA from 1 species
UACGUAGGGUGCAAGCGUUGUCCGGAAUUAUUGGGCGUAAAGAGCUCGUAGGCGGUUUGUCGCGUCUGCUGUGAAAACCCGAGGCUCAACCUCGGGCCUGCAGUGGGUACGGGCAGACUAGAGUGCGGUAGGGGAGAUUGGAAUUCCUGGUGUAGCGGUGGAAUGCGCAGAUAUCAGGAGGAACACCAGUGGCGAAGGCGGCACUCUGGGCCGGUACUGACGCUGAGGAGCGAAAGCGUGGGGAGCGAACAGG